AGAGUUUGAUCCUGGCUCAGGAUGAACGCUAGCUACAGGCUUAACACAUGCAAGUCGAGGGGCAGCAUGACCUAGCAAUAGGUUGAUGGCGACCGGCGCACGGGUGAGUAACACGUAUCCAACCUACCGGUUAUUCCGGGAUAGCCUUUCGAAAGAAAGAUUAAUACCGGAUAGUAUAACGAGAAGGCAUCUUCUUGUUAUUAAAGAAUUUCGAUGACCGAUGGGGAUGCGUUCCAUUAGUUUGUUGGCGGGGUAACGGCCCACCAAGACAUCGAUGGAUAGGGGUUCUGAGAGGAAGGUCCCCCACAUUGGAACUGAGACACGGUCCAAACUCCUACGGGAGGCAGCAGUGAGGAAUAUUGGUCAAUGGACGAGAGUCUGAACCAGCCAAGUAGCGUGAAGGAUGACUGCCCUAUGGGUUGUAAACUUCUUUUAUAUGGGAAUAAAGUGCAGUAUGUAUACUGUUUUGUAUGUACCAUACGAAUAAGGAUCGGCUAACUCCGUGCCAGCAGCCGCGGUAAUACGGAGGAUCCGAGCGUUAUCCGGAUUUAUUGGGUUUAAAGGGAGCGUAGGCGGAAGCUUAAGUCAGUUGUGAAAGUUUGCGGCUCAACCGUAAAAUUGCAGUUGAUACUGGGUUUCUUGAGUGCAGUAGAGGUAGGCGGAAUUCGUGGUGUAGCGGUGAAAUGCUUAGAUAUCACGAAGAACUCCGAUUGCGAAGGCAGCUUACUGGACUGUAACUGACGCUGAUGCUCGAAAGUGUGGGUAUCAAACAGGAUUAGAUACCCUGGUAGUCCACACAGUAAACGAUGAAUACUCGCUGUUUGCGAUAUAAUGCAAGCGGCCAAGCGAAAGCAUUAAGUAUUCCACCUGGGGAGUACGCCGGCAACGGUGAAACUCAAAGGAAUUGACGGGGGCCCGCACAAGCGGAGGAACAUGUGGUUUAAUUCGAUGAUACGCGAGGAACCUUACCCGGGCUUAAAUUGCAACUGACGGAUUUGGAAACAGAUCUUCCUUCGGGCAGUUGUGAAGGUGCUGCAUGGUUGUCGUCAGCUCGUGCCGUGAGGUGUCGGCUUAAGUGCCAUAACGAGCGCAACCCUUAUCUUUAGUUACUAACAGGUCAUGCUGAGGACUCUAGAGAGACUGCCGUCGUAAGAUGUGAGGAAGGUGGGGAUGACGUCAAAUCAGCACGGCCCUUACGUCCGGGGCUACACA
rnacentral:rRNA from 1 species